rnacentral:lncRNA from 1 species
ACUGACCAGGUCACCUGCAGCGCGGGCUGACGGCGGGCGACUGAAGGAGGGAGCAAGUCUCCCACCCCCAGCAGCCGGCGGCCGCUUCCGAAGUCUGCCCCCUUCCACUGCGGAGCGGCGCCCCGCGGGCCCCCAGCCAGCGCGCCCGAGGCGCCCCCGCCCCGUGUCGCUCGCGCUGCGUUAUUGGGAGAAGGCGGUUCCUGAGCACCAGCACGGGCCUCGGUGACACCGGAGGUCGCUGGGGUCUUCCCCUUCCCCUUAAGACUCUGGGUCUGUCUGUGGGAAGAGCUUUCAUUCCCCACCCCACUCUAUGCCGACCCUCUCCGGGGGAGGCUCCACUGGCACUGUAGACACCACGUGCUGGGUAAAAAGGCCUGGUCCCAGCGCUUCCCUGUCACUGACUGCUAACCACAAGGCGCCGUGGCACUCAGGAAAUGCGGCAGGGGGGCUGGAGAACUAUCAGGAAGGGGUGUGGGCAGAGAAGAGGCUUCCACCCUGUCUUGGAACACGGACACAGUCCAUGGCAUUCAAAAGAGGUGGGAGGCUCCUCUGUGCACGUGCCUUCCGCCCCCGGGACAGGUGGAGGAGGGGAUUUGACUGGUCCUCACCCUCUGCAUUUAUAGUCUGGGCACACCUUGGGCAGUGCCGCAGGAGGGCGCUGUGGAGUACAGGCACAUGCAGAAGGUGUGGCGAGGGCUUCCUGGUGGAGCUGGCAGUAGGGCAGGGACCUUGAAAAGGAAUGAUUUGAACAGAUCGGAAAAGACAUUCCAGACAGAAACAAAUGCCUGAAACCCAAACCGAGAAGCAGGAAAGAGCAGACUGCGUUCUCGGAAUGGCAGGGAGUCCAGUUUGACUGGAAGACCUGAGGCUCAGAGGCGCAUCACGGCCCAGAUGCAGACCACAGAGGCAGGCACAGUGGCCCAGGAGGACCGAGGACCUGGAGUCACGGGGUUCCGCCCGCUGCCCCUGGGGAACCGAGUCAUGCCAGUUCCCAGACAGAUGAAUUCCUUCCAAGAAUUCCACAGUCCUGCUCAAUCCUAGCCGCCAAGCCUCCUGGCCUUGGAUGGCUGCUGUCUAAUGCAGAUCCUCUUUCAUCCAGAUUUCAAAUAUUUUUCCUAUUCUGUCCUUUGAUCACUAACGUUUAUGUUUAUCUACAUCAGCAUCCCUCAAUCCUGACGGCACUCUGAAAUUAUCUAGGGGUGCUUUAAAAAAGAAAAAUGUUGAUGCAUGGCCCUCCUCCAGGAAAUCUGAUUUUAUUGGUCUGGGGUGGGGCCCAGGCAUCAGCAGACUUUUAAUGAGCAGUUAGAGAGGAGAACCACUGAUGGAGAUGGUCACCAGGGAGUGUCCAGGUCAGACCGCCACAGAAGAGUGCAGCCUCCUGGCCUUCAGACCCAACUGGGACAAACCCUGAGAACAGCCUUGGCAGACCUCCAGGGGCAGCUGGACUCCCUGAGGCUGGAUGUUGCAGCCUCUCCCAGGCAUCCACUCUGCAGCUGAGGCCAAAGUUUCCAACGGGAAGGGAGGGUGAGGCUUCUAUUUGUUUCCCAAGAGCCAGCUGACCUUUGAAGCUAGUGAUAACCACCACAAACCUCACUGGUGGGAGAACGAGGCACUGCAGCCAGUUCUCAUCAACCCCACAUCCCUGCAGGGGGCCCCAAGGCGGAUGUGUCACCAUCCUCUGCAACGCUGGGCCUCAGAGGUGGAGGAGGCCCAGCCAUGGCCAGAUGGGGGAUCUGGGGAACAGGUCCUCUGCUUUCUGGGAAAAUAGAGGAGAGUCUCCGAGUCUGGGCCUUGCCACUCCUCACUCAGCAUCUGACCAUCCCCACCUCCUGGAUCUACAGGGUUCAUAGAGGAGGACCCAGAAGAGGGAAAGUCAGGCUGAGGAACUUGGCCUCCCUGCUGCAAGGGAAAUGACAUCGGUUACCAAGGAGGUGACCAGCUAUCCUUUUCCAAGACUGAAAAGCAGAAAUACGGCCCUGAGGCUAGAGGGUCUAAGAGAACAAUAGGAAGAAUUUCCUGACAAAGGACAAUGUUGCCUAAAGGACUCAGGAAGCUCUGUGAAAACAGGAGACUCCCGAGCAGAGCACCAGACCCUUCUCCACCAGGCAGUGUUUUUCCCAUAUGACAGGUGAGAAAACUGAGGCUGAGAGACAUGUAAUAACUUGCUGAAGCAGCAACCAGCACACCAUAUAGCUGAAAUCUGUAGAUCAGCAGUUAAAAGUGGUAGGGCAAGUCCUCUCUGACUUUCAGCGCUAAGAGCCUAGGAUUCUGUGUUUUUCUGCUUAAGCCUGGGAAUCAGAGUCCUACAAAAGCCGCGCCUAAUCCUGGGGGUGUGGGCUUUAAACCCAGAGAGAAAGCAUGUUAUUGGAAUACUCCUGCACUUUUCUCCCUUUGAAUCCCACCACGGAAAGAAAAUUCUGUGACGUGUACCCAGUAUUUAUUGGAGGGUAUUUCCUAGCAAGAAAAUGAGGGCGAUUGACCAGGCACGGUGGCUCACGCCUGUAAUCCCAGCACUUUGGGAGGUCAAGGUGAGUGGAUCACAUGAGGUCAGGAGUUCGAGACCAGCCUGACCAACAUGGAGAAACCCCGUCUCUACUAAAAAUACAAAAUUAGCCGGGCGUGGGGUGGCGCAUGCCUGUAAUUCCAGCUACUCCUGAGGCUGUGGCAGCAGAAUCGCUUGAACCCGGGAGACAGAGGUUGCAGUGAGUUGAGAUCAAGCCAUCGCACUCCAGCCUGGGCAACAGAGUGAGACUCUGUCAAAAAAGAAAGUGUGGUACAUCUAUACUAAUGGAGUACUAUUUAGCCGUCAAAGAAAAAAAAGAAAAGAAAAAGAAAGAGAAAGAAAGAAAGAAGGAAAGAAAGAAAGAAAAAGAAAAUGAAGGCGAUUGUCAACAGCCUCUGGAAAUACAGAGCAGGGUCCAGAAAUGGCCCCUUCUUAGAUGGCGGGCUGGACAGUGCUGCUCCUUCUUAGCCACUGGCGGCAGAAAGACAAAGCCUGGUAAUUGUUCUUGGGAUUCUCCCUGUCACCUCUCCUUGUAGGUCACAAGCUUCCUGAUGCGACAGCCCGUGGGACUACUAGAAGGAAAGAUACUCCUUUUCCCAUUUUACAGAUCAGGAAACUGAGACUGGACAGAAACACCACCAGGAUUGAACUGUGAAUGGAUCUGACUCCAACCCACAAAUUCUUCACCUGGUCUCGAAAAGAGGCCCUGGCAACCUACUGCGCACCAGAGGGGAACCCGCCCGCCGUCCCAGGCCGGGCUCUCCCUGCUGCGGAGCGGCCCGGGCGCGGCGGGACAGGGAACGGAAGGAACGGGCUUGGCGCGCACUCGCCGAGGCCCAGGCAGGAUUCGAGCGCCAGGGAGGCGCCCAUUUCCCUUCCCCCGCGCCUGGGAACGCGGUGCUGGGGGCGGGGCCCGACCGCUGCCCCCUCCAAACGCCUCGACCGCCAGGUGCCCCGAAGCCCGGCCUCCCCUCCCACCCCCGCGCCUGUUCCCGGCGCAGCCCGAGCCGUGGCAGUCACGUCUCCCCAUCCGGCCCCAAAGGCUUCUUAUCUGCAAAUCUAUGCAUGUAUGCAUUCUUUAGAGGAUAAAAAAGGCCGGUGGUGACUCAUGCUGGUAAGCCCAGCUACUCAGGAGACUGAGACGAGAUGAUCUAGGGUAUCGCUUGAGCCCAGGAGUUCAAGGUUGCAGUGAGCUAUGAUGACACGACUGCACUCCAGCCUGGGUGACAGAGCAGGGCCUUAUUAAUAAAUUAAUUAAUUUAUAAAUUAAUAAAUUAAUUUAUAAAUUAAUAAAUUAUACAAUAUUGUCAGCUUUGUGAACGCAGAGGCCUUAUUUUGUUCACUGCUCUAUCCUCAGUGCCUGGAACACUGGUAGUUGUCUGGGUGCUCAAAAACCAUUUGUUGUUUCUACCAAAAUGGAAUCAUGCUUUACACAGUAGGACCAUCAUUUUUAGCAUACUUAAAUGUGCUAGUAUGAUGCCCCGACCCCCUCAAUGAGAAUAUGUGAGAGAUGGAUGGUCCACUGGCCUCUUUUUUUGUUUUUUUUUUUAGGCGGAAUUUCGUACUUGUUGCCCAGGCUGGAGUGCAAUGGCCCCAUCUCGGCUCACUGCAACCUCUGGCUCCUGGGUUCAAGUGAUUCUCCUGCCUCAGCCUCCCGAGUAGCUGGGAUUACAGGCAUGCACCACCACACCUGGCUAAUUUUGUAUUUUUAGUAGAGACGGAGUUUCUCCAUGUUGGUCAGGCUGGUCUCGAACUCCCGACCUCAGGUGAUCCGCCUGCCUUGGCCUCCCAAAGUGCUGAGAUUACAGGCCUGAACCACCGCGCCUGGCCCCACUGGCCUCUUUAACAAGAAUCUGGAGGCCAGAUGUGUUUGGGAUUUAGAAUUAUUCACAGUGCGCAUAUAAGGUGACUCUCCACCAUGCUCAGUCCCAUCACAUGUUCUGUAGCACCAUGUUUUGCUCCUUCAAAGCUGACUGCUGUAGUCUCACAAGUUUAUGUUAAUCCCAUCCAUGCCUGUCUCUCUCAGGAAACCACCCUGUCUGGUUUGCUCACCAUAGUACUCUCAGCAUGGAGUGGGUGCUCCAUAAAUAUGUGUUGGAUGAACGAAUGAAUGAAUGAAUAAAUGAAUGAAUGAAUGAAUGAUGAAUACUCUAUCCUGUUUGCCUCCCCUGGAGUCAUGUGUGGAGUUCUGUUUAUCCCAUCUCAGGACAAGCCCCAGAGAACCAGAAUCAUAGAAAGGGGGAGGUGUUAGUUUGCCCAUCCAACAGAGCAUCUGUUAUGUGCCAGGCUCUGUGCUAGGCUGUGGGGAUCUAAAAAAGAUGCAGGCCAGGGGUGAUGGCUCACGCCUGUAAUCCCAGCACUUUGGGAGGCUGAGGCAAAUGGAUCACUUGAGGUCAGGAGUUCAAGACCAGCCUGGACAACAUGGCAAAACUCCAUCUCUACUAAAAAAAAAAAAAAAAAAAAGCCAGGCGUGGUGGUGGGAGCCUGUAAUCCCAGCUACUUGGGAGGCUGAGACAGGUGAAUCACUUGAAACUGGGAGGUGGAGGUUGCAGUGAGCUGAGAUCUCACCACUGCACUCCAGCCUGGGAGAAGAGCGAGACUGAAAAGACCUGUCAGCAGGGUCAAAACAGGGAGCAGGUGGCAUGCUCAAGGGUGUGGACAAGGUGUAGGAUAGCCAGGGGAUGGUCCAGUUCCCGGGAGCCAAAGGGGAAAGGCAAGAGGAGGGAGCGGUUAACCAGACCUAGAGAGAGAGGGCAAGCUAGGUGCAGGGCCCCUUCAAGGGCUCCAGCCUCUGCUGGGAGAUUCAGCCCGCCAGAGGCAACUGGACAGGAAAUGAGCCCAGGAAGGACUACCCUGACCCCACUAUCCUCCCCCAGGCUUCUCCGCUCCACUUUGCUUGACCACAAAGCAAAGAGGCAGGGGAAGCAUUGAGGCAGUCUGUGAACAUCAGCCUCCAGGUGCAGAGCAGGGUGGAUGGUGGGUGGCAGGACAGCUGGAAGCUAUCCAGUACCAAGAAUGAGGCUGUGAUAGCCAACAGGAACAGGAAGGGAUGUGAUCAUAGUCACAGAUACCAUGACCACAGGCUUGGCCUGGACUGGGUUUGGGCUGGCAGAGAGAGGUCAGAAGCAUAAUGACCCUUGCAGAGGGAGUGUCAUCAAAUUAAGUAAAGUUGGGGCCA